rnacentral:rRNA from 1 species
CGCUGGCGGCGUGCCUAAUACAUGCAAGUCGAGCGAACGGACGAGAAGCUUGCUUCUCUGAUGUUAGCGGCGGACGGGUGAGUAACACGUGGAUAACCUACCUAUAAGACUGGGAUAACUUCGGGAAACCGGAGCUAAUACCGGAUAAUAUUUUGAACCGCAUGGUUCAAAAGUGAAAGACGGUCUUGCUGUCACUUAUAGAUGGAUCCGCGCUGCAUUAGCUAGUUGGUAAGGUAACGGCUUACCAAGGCAACGAUGCAUAGCCGACCUGAGAGGGUGAUCGGCCACACUGGAACUGAGACACGGUCCAGACUCCUACGGGAGGCAGCAGUAGGGAAUCUUCCGCAAUGGGCGAAAGCCUGACGGAGCAACGCCGCGUGAGUGAUGAAGGUCUUCGGAUCGUAAAACUCUGUUAUUAGGGAAGAACAUAUGUGUAAGUAACUGUGCACAUCUUGACGGUACCUAAUCAGAAAGCCACGGCUAACUACGUGCCAGCAGCCGCGGUAAUACGUAGGUGGCAAGCGUUAUCCGGAAUUAUUGGGCGUAAAGCGCGCGUAGGCGGUUUUUUAAGUCUGAUGUGAAAGCCCACGGCUCAACCGUGGAGGGUCAUUGGAAACUGGAAAACUUGAGUGCAGAAGAGGAAAGUGGAAUUCCAUGUGUAGCGGUGAAAUGCGCAGAGAUAUGGAGGAACACCAGUGGCGAAGGCGACUUUCUGGUCUGUAACUGACGCUGAUGUGCGAAAGCGUGGGGAUCAAACAGGAUUAGAUACCCUGGUAGUCCACGCCGUAAACGAUGAGUGCUAAGUGUUAGGGGGUUUCCGCCCCUUAGUGCUGCAGCUAACGCAUUAAGCACUCCGCCUGGGGAGUACGACCGCAAGGUUGAAACUCAAAGGAAUUGACGGGGACCCGCACAAGCGGUGGAGCAUGUGGUUUAAUUCGAAGCAACGCGAAGAACCUUACCAAAUCUUGACAUCCUUUGACAACUCUAGAGAUAGAGCCUUCCCCUUCGGGGGACAAAGUGACAGGUGGUGCAUGGUUGUCGUCAGCUCGUGUCGUGAGAUGUUGGGUUAAGUCCCGCAACGAGCGCAACCCUUAAGCUUAGUUGCCAUCAUUAAGUUGGGCACUCUAAGUUGACUGCCGGUGACAAACCGGAGGAAGGUGGGGAUGACGUCAAAUCAUCAUGCCCCUUAUGAUUUGGGCUACACACGUGCUACAAUGGACAAUACAAAGGGCAGCGAAACCGCGAGGUCAAGCAAAUCCCAUAAAGUUGUUCUCAGUUCGGAUUGUAGUCUGCAACUCGACUACAUGAAGCUGGAAUCGCUAGUAAUCGUAGAUCAGCAUGCUACGGUGAAUACGUUCCCGGGUCUUGUACACACCGCCCGUCACACCACGAGAGUUUGUAACACCCGAAGCCGGUGGAGUAACCUUUUAGGAGCUAGCCGUCGAAGGUGGGACAAAUGAUUGGGGUG